UACGUAGGGUGCAAGCGUUGUCCGGAAUUAUUGGGCGUAAAGAGCUCGUAGGCGGUUUGUCGCGUCUGCUGUGAAAACCCGAGGCUCAACCUCAGGCCUGCAGUCGAUACGGGCAGACUAGAGUCCGGCAGGGGAGACUGGAAUUCCUGGUGUAGCGGUGAAAUGCGCAGAUAUCAGGAGGAACACCGGUGGCGAAGGCGGGUCUCUGGGCCGGAAACU
rnacentral:rRNA from 1 species